GAUGAACGCUGGCGGCGUGCUUAACACAUGCAAGUCGAACGGAAAGGCCCAAGCUUGCUUGGGUACUCGAGUGGCGAACGGGUGAGUAACACGUGGGUGAUCUGCCCUGCACUUCGGGAUAAGCCUGGGAAACUGGGUCUAAUACCGGAUAGGACCACUUCUUGGAUGUUGUGGUGGAAAGUUUUUUCGGUGUGGGAUGAGCUCGCGGCCUAUCAGCUUGUUGGUGGGGUAGUGGCCUACCAAGGCGUCGACGGGUAGCCGGCCUGAGAGGGUGUACGGCAAGAGGGGGAGAGAGAGAAAGCGCAGAAGGAGAGGGGAGGAAGCGGUGGGGAAGAGUGCCAGAUGGGCGGAAGAAUGAUGCAGCAAAGCAGCGGGAGGGAGGACGGCAUGCGGGUGGUAAAACGGAUUCGCGUGGGACGAAGCGGGAGGGACGGGAAGGGGUAAAGAAGAACAGGCUAACUAGGUG
rnacentral:rRNA from 1 species